GACGAACGCUGGCGGCGUGCUUAACACAUGCAAGUCGAACGAAGUGGCGAACGGGUGAGUAACGCGUAAUCAACCUGCCCUUCAGAGGGGGACAACAGGUGGAAACGACUGCUAAUACCGCAUACUGACGGGGUGGGUUGCGUCUGAUUAGCUAGUUGGAGGGGUAAAGACCCACCAAGGCGAUGAUCAGUAGCCGGUCUGAGAGGAUGAACGGCCACAUGGGGACUGAGACUCGGCCCAGACUCCUACGGGAGGCAGCAGGGGGGAAUCUUCCGCAAUGGACGAAAGUCUGACGGAGCAACGCCGCGUGAGUGAUGACGGCCUUCGGGGUGUAAAGCUCUGUUAAUCGGGACGCGGUACCGGAAUAGAAAGCCACGGCUAACGACGUGCCAGCAGCCGCGGUAAUUC
rnacentral:rRNA from 1 species